rnacentral:rRNA from 1 species
GGUAGGCCUAACACCUGCAAGUCUAACGGCAGCACAGUAAGAGCUUGCUCUUACGGGUGGCGAGUGGCGGACGGGUGAGGAAUGCAUCGGAAUCUAGUCUGUCGUGGGGGAUAACGUAGGGAAACUUACGCUAAUACCGCAUACGACCUACGGGUGAAAGCAGGGGAUCUUCGGACCUUGCGCGAUUGAAUGAGCCGAUGCCCGAUUAGCUAGUUGGCGGGGUAAGAGCCCACCAAGGCGACUAUCGGUAUCUGGUCUGACAGGAUGAUCAGCCAGACUGGAACUGAGACACGGUCCACACUCCUACGGGAGGCAGCAGUGGGGAAUAUUGGACAAUGGGCGCUAGCCUGAUCCAGCCAUACCGCGUGGGUGAAUAAGGCCUUCGGGUUGUAAAGCCCUUUAGUUGGGAAAGAAAAGCACUCGGUUAAUACCCGAUUGUGCUGACGGUACGCACAGAAUAAGCACCGGCUAACUUCGUGCCUGUCGCCGCGGUGUAUACGAACGGUGCAUGCGUUACUCGGAAUUACUGGGCGUACAGCGUG